rnacentral:misc_RNA from 1 species
GCAAACUUGGUCAUUUAGAGGAAGUAAAAGUCGUAACAAGGUUUCCGUAGGUGAACCUGCGGAAGGAUCAUUAUCGAGUUUUGACUGGGUUGUAGCUGGCCUUCCGAGGCAUGUGCACGCCCUGCUCAUCCACUCUACACCUGUGCACUUACUGUGGGCUUCAGCUUGUGAAACGGGCCCUUUAUCGGCUCGCGGAGCGCGUCUGUGCCUGCGUUUAUCACAAACUCCAUAAAGUAUCAGAAUGUGUAUUGCGAUGUAACGCAUCUAUAUACAACUUUCAGCAACGGAUCUCUUGGCUCUCGCAUCGAUGAAGAACGCAGC